rnacentral:rRNA from 1 species
AAUGAACGCUGGCGGCAUGCCUUACACAUGCAAGUCGAACGGCAGCAUGACCUAGCUUGCUAGGUUGAUGGCGAGUGGCGAACGGGUGAGUAAUGCAUCGGAACGUGCCUUUUAGUGGGGGAUAACGUAGCGAAAGUUACGCUAAUACCGCAUAUUCUCUGAGGAGGAAAGCAGGGGACCUUCGGGCCUUGCGCUAGAAGAGCGGCCGAUGUCGGAUUAGCUAGUUGGUGAGGUAAAGGCUCACCAAGGCAACGAUCCGUAGCGGGUCUGAGAGGAUGAUCCGCCACCCUGGGACUGAGACACGGCCCAGACUCCUACGGGAGGCAGCAGUGGGGAAUUUUGGACAAUGGGCGCAAGCCUGAUCCAGCCAUGCCGCGUGAGUGAAGAAGGCCUUCGGGUUGUAAAGCUCUUUCGGCUGGGAAGAAAUCGCACCCUCUAAUACAGGGUGUGGAUGACGGUACCAGCAUAAGAAGCACCGGCUAACUACGUG